GACGAACGCUGGCGGCGUGCUUAACACAUGCAAGUCGAACGGUAAGGCCCUUCGGGGUACACGAGUGGCGAACGGGUGAGUAACACGUGGGUGAUCUGCCCUGCACUUCGGGAUAAGCCUGGGGAACUGGGUCUAAUACCGGAUAGGACUCCUGGCUUCAUGGUUGGGGGUGGAAAGCUUUUGCGGUGUGGGAUGGGCCCGCGGCCUAUCAGCUUGUUGGUGGGGUAGUGGCCUACCAAGGCGACGACGGGUAGCCGGCCUGAGAGGGUGACCGGUCACACUGGGACUGAGAUACGGCCCAGACUCCUACGGGAGGCAGCAGUGGGGAAUAUUGCACAAUGGGCGCAAGCCUGAUGCAGCGACGCCGCGUGAGGGAUGACGGCCUUCGGGUUGUAAACCUCUUUCAGCUAUGACGAAGCGCAAGUGACGGUAGUAGCAGAAGAAGGACCGGCCAACUACGUGCCAGCAGCCGCCGCCG
rnacentral:rRNA from 1 species